UACGAAGGGGGCUAGCGUUGCUCGGAAUCACUGGGCGUAAAGGGUGCGUAGGCGGCGCGGCUAGUCAGGCGUGAAAUUCCUGGGCUCAACCUGGGGGCUGCGUUUGAUACGUGCGGACUUGAGUGCGGAAGAGGGUCGUGGAAUUCCCAGUGUAGAGGUGAAAUUCGUAGAUAUUGGGAAGAACACCGGUGGCGAAGGCGGCGACCUGGUCCGAUACUGACGCUGAGGCGCGAAAAGCGUGGGGAGCAAACAGG
rnacentral:rRNA from 1 species